UUGAAACAUCGGUUUCCGUACGAUCACCGCAGUUAAGCAACGUCGAGCCUGGUCAGUACCUAGAUGGGUGACCGCUUGAGAAUACCAAGGGU
rnacentral:rRNA from 1 species